CGGCUCUGCGCCGCGCGGUGAGGAGUUCUCGUCCCCGCCUGCAGCCAUGCCGUCCAAGGGCCCUCUGCAGUCCGUGCAGGUCUUCGGACGAAAGAAGACGGCCACCGCUGUGGCGCACUGCAAACGCGGCAACGGCCUCAUCGAGGUGAACGGGCGGCCCCUGGAGCGGAUCGAGCCGCGCACGCUGCAGUGCAAGCUACUGGAGCCAGUUCUGCUUCCGGGCAAGGAGCGGUUUGCUGGCGUGGAUAUCCGUGUCCGGGUGACGGGUGGUGGUCACCUGGCCCAGAUUUAUGCUAUUCGUCAGUCCAUCUCCAAAGCUCUUGUGGCCUAUUACCAGAAAUAUGUGGAUGAGGCUUCCAAGACGGAGAUCAAAGACAUUCUUAUUCAGUAGGACCGGACACUGCUGGUAGCUGACCCCCGUCGCUGUGAAUCCAAAAAGUUUGGAGAUCCCGGUGCCCGCGCCCGUUACCAGAAAUCUUACCGAGAAGCCCAUCACAGGGAUCAGGGUUUACCUGUAUAAUAAACAUUAUGGGAUUUUAAGGUUUCAAAAAAAAAAAAA